UAAAGAAUCCUCGGGUCCGGAUGGGCAUGCGUGGCAUUAGCUUGUUGGCGGGGUAACGGCCCACCAAGGCGACGAUGCCUAGGGGUUCUGAGAGGAAGGUCCCCCACACUGGUACUGAGACACGGACCAGACUCCUACGGGAGGCAGCAGUGAGGAAUAUUGGUCAAUGGGCGAGAGCCUGAACCAGCCAAGUCGCGUGAGGGACGACGGCCCUACGGGUUGUAAACCUCUUUUGCCGGGGGACAAACGGCGGCACGCGUGCCGUCCUGAGGGUACCCGGAGAAAAAGCAUCGGCUAACUCCGUGCCAGCAGCCGCGGUAAUACGGAGGAUGCGAGCGUUAUCCGGAUUUAUUGGGUUUAAAGGGUGCGUAGGCGGGAUGCCAAGUCAGCGGUCAAAUACGGGGGCUCAACCUGCGUCCGCCGUUGAAACUGGCGUUCUUGAGUGGGCGAGAAGUACGCGGAAUGCGUGGUGUAGCGGUGAAAUGCAUAGAUAUCACGCAGAACCCCGAUUGCGAAGGCAGCGUACCGGCGCCCAACUGACGCUGAAGCACGAAAGCGUGGGUAUCGAACAGGAUUAGAUACCCUGGUAGUCCACGCAGUAAACGAUGAACACUAAUUGUCCGGCGGGGUUUGCCGCUGGGUGAU
rnacentral:rRNA from 1 species